GGCAAAAACUCAAAAUUUUGUCUAAAAUCAAUGGAGCUAUCAACAAAUAGAUUCUAAUGCAAAACCAUCACAAACAAGCACUAUCAGAGAUUUAGUGUCAAAAUGAUAAGAAAAGAACUAUAGAAUUCAGUUCUUUUACAGCACAAAAUCUUAUCAAAGCUCUUGUCUUGCAUGAUAUCCACAGAGCAUUCUGCUUCAAACAGUAUACAGAAGGAAAGACAUAUCAAUAAUACAAUACAAAAACAAGCAUACAUUAUGAUUUCAAGUUUCAAAGAUUUUCUCAGAAACAAUCUGCAGACAUAGGAGCUGGAAAUCUGAGGGAAAGGCAGAUCGAUGAGGCAUCAAAGAAAGAAACCAAAAUCAAAAUUGACAUAUUAGGAAUGAAUCCAUAAUUCAGGUAAAAUCGGAUAAUUUUAUUAUGUUAUGGUUUCAGUCU
rnacentral:misc_RNA from 1 species